rnacentral:rRNA from 1 species
GACGAACGCUGGCGGCGUGCCUAAUACAUGCAAGUCGAGCGAUGAAGCUUGGUGCUUGCACCAAUUUCAAGAGCAGCGAACGGGUGAGUAACGCGUGGGUAAUCUGCCUUUGAGCGGGGGACAACAUUUGGAAACGAAUGCUAAUACCGCAUAACAUCUUUAAACAUAAGGUUUAAGUUUGAAAGAUGCAAUUGCAUCACCCAAUCGUGAUCCCGCGUUGUAUUAGUGAGUUGGUGAGGUAAAGGCCCUCCAACGUGAGGAUACAUAGCCCGCCUGAGAGGGUGGUCGGCCACCAUGGGACUGUGACCCGGCCCAAUGUGACUCGGGAGGGAGCAGGAGGGAAUCUUCGGGCAUGGGCGGAAGUCUGUCCGAGCAACGCCGCGUGGGUGAAGAACGUUGUCGGGUCGUAAAACUCUGUUGGUAGGGAAUAACGUUAGUGGGAGUGGAACGCUCAUCGAGUGACGGUAACUACUCAGAAAGGGACGGCUAACUACGUG